AUUGAACGCUGGCGGCAUGCCUUACACAUGCAAGUCGAACGGUAACGCGCCUUCGGGUGUCGUCGAGUGGUGCACGGGGGCGUAAUAUAUAGGAACGUGUCCCCUCGCGGGGGGUAUCGAGGCUCAAGCGUAGCUCAUAUCGCAUACGAGCUACGAUUGUGAACCGGGGAGCUCAAGGGCUUGCGCGGGUGUUGCGGUCGAUGUCAGAUUAGGUAGUUGGUGGGGUAAAAGCUUACCAAGCCGACGAUUUGUAGCGGGUCUGAGAGGAUGAUCAGCCACACUGGGACUGAGACACGGCCCAGACUCCUACGGGAGGCAGCAGUGGGGAAUUUUGGACAAUGGGCGCAAGCCUGAUCCAGCCAUGCCGCGUGAGGGAUGAAGGCCUUCGGGUUGUAAACUGCUUUUGUACGGAAAGAAAAGCCUUGUUUUAAUACAGGAGGGUCAUGACGGUACCGGAAGAAUAAGCACCGGCUAACUACGUG
rnacentral:rRNA from 1 species